UUCUUUUAACCGAUGUAGAAUAUAUGAGCAAUUUCUUUUCUCCUUUCCGCGCGAGCACAGUGCCUUUAGCACCUCUGCAAAAUUUCGCACACGGUCAUCUCUGCUGGAAGCACAUUACCUUUAGGGCUAGCACAGAUUGAACUUUGAAGGUACCUAGCUCGCGUGAAUCACACACUAGCAAGGUCAUUGAUCUUCGAAGCUGAUUUUCUGAUACACUACUAGGCUCGUUGAAACUCUUAUAGGGUUUGGAGACGCUCCCGAAGGAGUUUUCCCGAGACGUGGUGGUCUUGACGUGAGUUCGUUGCUGAAGGGAGAGGAUCGCUCGAGGUGCUUGUCGAGGACGUCGUUGAUUCGCUUGCGAUCCUCCGAUUUGGAGGAAACGGACACUCCUCCUCGCUCUUUGUACAUGAUAGUUACCGAAUCAUGGUGGGAAA